rnacentral:rRNA from 1 species
GACGAACGCUGGCGGCGUGCUUAACACAUGCAAGUCGAGCGGUAAGGCCCUUUCGGGGGUACACGAGCGGCGAACGGGUGAGUAACACGUGGGUGACCUGCCCUUAGCUCUGGGAUAAGCCUGGGAAACUGGGUCUAAUACCGGAUAUGACUCCAUGACGCAUGUUGUGGGGUGGAAANCCUUGUGCGGCUAGGGAUGGGCCCGCGGCCUAUCAGCUUGUUGGNGGGGUAACGCCUACCAAGGCAACGACGGAUAGCUGGUCUGAGAGGACGAUCAGCCACACUGGGACUGAGACACGGCCCAGACUCCGUACGGGAGGCAGCGAGUGGGGAAUCUUGCGCAAGUGGGGGAAACCCUGACGCAGCGACGCCGCGUGCGGGAUGAA